GUCUUGCAAACAUACGUCCCUUGGUCUCGCGGGCCGAGCUUCGUCACGGUCAGUGCCGGGCUGUCUUCGUGGCCACCGCGAAAGAACGCUCUGCCUUGCCAGUCAGGGCGAGGGCGAUGCUGAUGGGGCAGCUUGCGGUUGGGAAUGGGCAGAUGUGCCCGCAAGUCUACUGCUGCUUUACAAAAUCCGGGGAAAGCAGAGGGAAGGCGGCAGAUGGAAAUCGAAGACGGAAACGAAACGUCGUGGUUCAAGAAAGGCUUGAUCCUGUGCCCGCAAUAUCACUUGGAAGUCUGUUUAAGUGGGCAGCUUGUAAACGAACAAGGCGCGAUGGGUCAGUGCAAUUUCUUCUUGGUUGACAACAGCUACUUCAAGCUACCGGUGGAGCGUA